CAGGGGUGGGGACGCUUUCCAUUGCGAAGGAAAUGAGAAGGCGAUAAGUGGAAAACGCUUACACGAAUUACUACACAUCUCGAAUCGCGAAUACAAAUUUCCACGUCCUUCCGCGAUUAAACAUUCGAAUAUAUUUGACAGAAAAAUUACUUCAAAGAUCGUCGCGUUCUACUCGAGAUUUUAUGCAACGUUGACAAAUGUACCGUACGUGACAGCGUAUAACGAUCCGCCGAGGUUAAUUGACAUUUCACGUUUCCUUUUAUAACGUAAUUAUUAAACUAUCCGGAAAAAUGCCAGCGCCCAACUCUAUCAGCGUAGCUGUAAUAUGCUCUAGCAAUAUGAAUCGAAGCAUGGAAGCCCAUGCUUUCUUGAGUAAAAAGGGGUUUAAUGUUAAGUCAUUUGGCACCGGUGACAAAGUAAAACUUCCUGGGAACGCUCCGGACCGUCCAAACAUAUACGACUUCGGGACUUCAUACGAUGAAAUCUAUAAUGAUCUCUUAUCGAAAGAUAAACAAUAUUAUACGCAAAACGGUUUGCUGCACAUGUUAGACAGGAAUCGGAGAAUAAAGCCUAGGCCAGAGAGAUUUCAAUUGUCCAAGGAGAAAUUCGAUAUUUUAAUUACAUGCGAGGAGCGUGUGUACGAUCAAGUUAUAGAAUGCAUGGAAUCCAGAACUCCAGAGGAUAAUCAGCCUGUACAUUUGAUCAACAUUGAUAUUCUGGAUAAUCACGAAGAAGCUACAGUUGGAUCGUUUCUCAUUUGCGAACUUGUCACUGUGCUGGCUAACAGUGAGGACUUAGAUAACGAUAUAGACGAACUCCUUCACGAGUUUGAAUCAAAAUUCGCAAGAACGAUCUUGCACACAGUGCUCUUCUAUUGAGAUGCAAAGUUCCGUAUUAAGGAUCUGGUGUUCAUCAACGACUUAACUUAUAAAUGCCGACUAAAUAAUUGACCACAAAUAUACCGCCACAUUCUCUGCGUCAGAUUAUGUGGAACGAAUUCUGAAGAUCGACUAAUAAGAAUUCGGUCCGUGCUUCCUGUUUAUCGACUUACUGCUUUCCACUACUAGAAUCGAUACAAUCUGAUGCGCUUAUACUCUUAGAGAUUUGUAUAUUACAAAAUAUAAUCCGCUGUUGUAUAGCGAGAAGGCCUUCAAUUCACCCGAUAACGCGGCAAUAACAGGAAUCAAUGUUCAUCAAGAUGAGCGUACAAUCUCCUCGUUUUCUCCCGUUUCUUUUUGUUGGUAUGUUUGUUAAUCUUUUUCCACGGUUUCGCCUCGAUCAGCAGACUCUGCGUAGAACCAAUCGCUGAUCUUGUACCGCUGGAACAAAGGAAGCCAAUAAAAAAUCAAGUUUGUGUACAUCCUCCCACACAUAUUAUUAUAUUACAUGAGAGAUCAUUGUCAAUAAUUAUACAAAAGUCGAAUAAUAAAUGUACAAUAAUGUUA